rnacentral:rRNA from 1 species
UACAGAGGGUGCAAACGUUGUUCGGAAUUACUGGGCGUAAAGCGCGUGUAGGCGGCCCUGCAAGUCGGAUGUGAAAUCCCACGGCUCAACCGUGGAAGUGCAUUCGAAACUGCAGGGCUAGAGUCCUGGAGAGGAAGGUGGAAUGCUUGGUGUAGAGGUGAAAUUCGUAGAUAUCAAGCGGAACACCGGUGGCGAAGGCAGCCUUCUGGACAGUGACUGACGCUGAGACGCGAAAGCGUGGGGAGCAAACAGG